rnacentral:lncRNA from 1 species
CGUCGUUUCUACCUAGUAUUAAAUUACCUUUGAUCAUGUAAUGAUGAUUUUAAAGAGAAUCACAAAUGCGAACACCACAUUUAAUGAAUCUUUAAUGUUAAAUAUAUUGAAUUUUGUAUCAUAAAUUUAUAAUAAAAACUUAGGUUAGUCAAUUUAUUGAUAAAAUUGGAUGGAGUACAGAGGUGACGACUUGGAGGCUAGUGUAUUUAGCAAAUCAGGGGCUUAAGUUGUGUCUCACCACGUUCAGAAAAGGUUAAACUAGUGGGUCAAGUAUGACGAAUAUUUCAGAAUCUUUGAGAAAGUUCGACGAAUCAUGUGACGCAGUGGGCAGUGGCACACCCACCAACUACAGACCAUACCAUUUGUUGCUAAAAAAAAAUUGUUUUUCUUUUGCAUCAACAUGGUUUAUUGGUGGUAUUAAGAACUAUAUAAGCAUCAGCAACGUACUGAAACUAAAUUUUUUAUUCUCAAAGCAAACACAAAACUAAUCUAUUAUAUAAACAGAGUUUAUAAUCUUGUGUUGUGGGAAAAUUUGUUACAUUUUCUGUAUGUUAUAAAAAAAAAAGGAAAUCGCUCAUAUCAAUUUCGUUUAGGUUGUUGUUUUAUGGCCUUAGUGCAAAUGGAUUCUUCAGCAGAUCAACUAACUUUUACUGCUGCUUCAACUCUGUAAAUCUUACAUCUAAAGUAUAUACACCAGGAGGCAACGUUACCGCAUUCUCAGAAGUCUUUUUCAUGAUUCUCAAAUUAAUCACAGAGUUUCUACAUUUGGAUUCUCUGCUUAAACGCUUCAACGUUGAAGGCUUGAAUCUAUUGAGAAUGUCUCUGCACGCUGCUGAUUAGCCCUUGCCACUGUCUGAAGAUGAAAUAAUAAGAAAAUGAGAUCCUAGUACAUUAAUCAAACAGAUUCAUUACGCUAUGUUAUAAAGUGAUGAUAAUCUCUCAUGGGUGAUAUUUACCUGAAAUGCUGGCAGAUGUGGUGCAGGCAAAAGCUGGAUGUAUGGAGUGAAUUGCUUACUGAUAUUGAAACACUUUGUCUCACCUAGCUUUUGCCUUUUGAUGGCUUGAUUUUCUGAAUCAGACUGAUAGUGUUAGCUACGUUAUUUAACACUUGUUUCCCUGCAGUGAGAUACAUAACACAUAAAAACCCCAUUACGAGAGGAACAUGAGACCAAAGUUAAGUUCAGACGGAUUCUUCAGCCUAGUUUGUUGCUUCUUAGGGUCCAUCGACUUUCCUUCUUGUUCUCUGCUUUUUCACAGGUCGAAUUUUCAAGUUGGAUGUUAACAAGACCUUGUCUCACCUAUCUUUAUUAAUUUCCCUAAAUCUGUUUGGUAGAGCUUGCUAUGUUUCCCUGCAGUGAGGCAAUAAAUGAAUAA